AGCACACUGCAUAAAGGACCUGUAACACACACACACACACACACACUCAUAUUACGUAUAUUACAUUAUAAUGAACAAACUAAAAAUGUGGUUAUGAGCCUAUGUAUCGACAGUUCACUGACCUUGAUCCUUGUGUUAUUUUUUGUUUAUUUGUUUUCCCUGGAAUUAAUAGGUUAAAUAAACUGUAUUUGUAAUAUAAACCUUUAUUGUCUCUCCUCUUUUCAUGUUGGGGUUUGAGUGAAUAAACUGGCUGUAAUAUACAAAUUGGAGGCUUGUCCGGGAUGCCUUAUUCAAUAUAAUCAGAGAGCAUGGCGAGCAGGAUGGAGGAGAUCCAGGCGGUGUCGCUGUAUCCGACGCUGAACUCUCGGAUCAGCUCUUUGAAGAAGACGCUGACGGCCUUGGGGAAGGCGUAGGAGAAUCCGGUGAUGACGAAGCAGCCGAACAGCACCGCCCAUCCCCACCCCCCAUCAGGGGCUUUCACUCCGCCUACGCCGUCAUCCACAACUACACCUCCCAUGAUGCACUGCUUAUCCCUGCAGAAAAAGGCCCAAAUGUCAACAGCAUGCUAAUAACUGUCUUUGAUUAUUCAGAACGGGUAAGACCCACAAACCAACACCUAUCUACAGACAUAACAUAGAGAAUAUACUCAAUUAAGAGUUCACCCCAUAACCUGGGUAAAUAUGAUCUAAAUUAUAAAGACCUACUACAAAAUCUAACAUUUCUUAGUAUGUUGCACAAAUGUUACAUAUUUCCUAUUAACCCCUGCCAUCCUAUAAUUGCAUAAUGGGCAUGUCCCUCCACCUCUAAAUUCACCAUCAGUGUGGAGUCUUGCCUACCGGGGCUAGCUUUGUUUAGGUAUUCAGUUCCAUUUUAUUUAAGGGUUGACUGCCUGGCCACAGUGUUGUAGGCCAUAAGAGCAAGUUGCAAUUUCUUUACUGAAAAGCAUAACUUUAUGCUGGCUGAGAACUGCAAUGCAGUUGUUCUGCUACCAGUACUGUACUGUUUAUUUACAGUGAAAUUCUGUGUAUGUAAGGGUUGGCACCCGGUCAUGGCCCCCUCCGGCCACCAGAGGGGGGCCUCGAGCAACACCGGCACCUUAUCAAGCUCAACACAAUGCACCUGUGUUGGGUCUGUUUACUAUCUGGUUCAGAGGGCUCACUUACAAGAGCGAGCCCAACCCCUACAGUAUAGCGUAUUGUCAGCUUUAAUUUUACAGGAAUUUAUUAGUUAUACGUUUACAACUGGCAACUAACGAACAUUUAAAGUACAUAAGAUUAUUGUAAAUAAUAAUUACAGUAAUGUUUUUGUUUAUUUCAAAAUGUACUCUAAAAAGAUUUAACACUCUGUAAUUUGUUUACAGUACUAAUUAUACAGUAAUACUCUACUAUAAUAUUUCUCCAGAGUAAAUUACUGUAGUUUAACAAUCCUUCAUUGGCAACUUUUUUUUGUCAAUAACUUACUGUCAAAUUUACAGGAAACCUUUUUACAUUGAUGUUGAUUGGAGUUAAUGUUUUGUCACUCCAAAUUAUCCCAAAGGUAUUGGACAGAGCAUGAUUUCAGAGAACACAGUUCCACAGCUCAAUUUUUCUUUAGUAGCCACCUUUAAAGAAGAUCUCUUAUGGAGGAUUGUCCAGAUACUUUUGAACAUACCGUGUAUUAUUUGUUUUGAGUUGUGCAUUGUCAUUCACUGGUUCUUGAGAACUUGAAUAAAACAGGUUUGCGUGUUCAGCAA